UAAUAUUGAAUAAAAAACAAGAAACAAGCAGAUCAUGUCUCAGAAAUAAGAAACGGUGUCGUUGUGAUCACCCAGUCCGGUAACGGGUGCAUGAAACGAGAGAAGGAAUUUAGGACGCUUACGGAAAAGUACAAUUAAGAUGGGGUUUUCGUAUUAUUUCCAAGCAAUGGAAUCUACUUACACUCCAGAUUUUGCUCUCUUUUCCUUUCCUAAAUUUUCUCAGCAACUGAAGGGACCCGUAUCACAGUCCCUAACCCAGGCUUCUAAUGUCGUAAUCAACUGUCUUCGGCCAAACUUUUCGAACCCUUCACAAGCCAUUUGACAUUUUGGCAGGAAUUGCUAUUAUCUUGCGUCAGUAUCACAGGAAUAAAUGUUAAAGGGCAUUUGAAAAUGACUAUUGCGUUUCAGAAAGUGCUUGUAGGAUUGUGGCACAGCAAAUUUAUGGUUCUGGUAAUUCAUGUAGUGGAUCAGAGGUGCUUCUUCAAAUUUGGCGGGGUAUACUUCUAGUAAGUUGAGUGUUGAGUGUUGAGUUUAAGAUACUGUAAGUUCUAGUUUCAUACUGUCUUUUUUUUUUUUAUUAUUUUAUUUUGUUUUUUAUUUCUUGUAUUCACAUAAAUCUUUGUGUUACUUGAGCACUCUGAGUAUCAUAAACUAUCUUCAACACUUGAAGGAUCAAAUUUGAGCACUUUGGUUAUAUUACUCUAUUUA